AACGCGUCCCGGGCCGGCUCUGCCGUCGUUGCUGCCGCCGGGCGCCCCGGGACGAGGAGGUGGAGGAGGGAGAGGGCCCGCGGGCCUCGCCUCCGCCCUCCGCCCCCUCCCGCCACCUCGAGCUGCGGUAGCAGCGACUCAUGAGAGCGCGGCCGGAGGACAGAUGAGGAAACUGGGACACAGAAAGGUUGAGUAACUUGUUGAAGUUCACCCAGCUAAUUUGAUAAUGGGCUGCAUUAAAAGUAAAGAAAACAAAAGUCCAGCCAUUAAAUACAGACCUGAAAAUACUCCAGAGCCUGUCAGUACAAGUGUGAGCCAUUAUGGAGCAGAACCCACUACAGUGUCACCAUGUCCGUCAUCUUCAGCAAAGGGAACAGCAGUUAAUUUCAGCAGUCUUUCCAUGACACCAUUUGGAGGAUCCUCAGGGGUAACGCCUUUUGGAGGUGCAUCUUCCUCAUUUUCAGUGGUGCCAAGUUCAUAUCCUGCUGGUUUAACAGGUGGUGUUACGAUAUUUGUGGCCUUAUAUGAUUAUGAAGCUAGAACUACAGAAGACCUUUCAUUUAAGAAGGGUGAAAGAU
rnacentral:sRNA from 1 species